rnacentral:RNase_P_RNA from 1 species
CAACACGGUCGGGUCGUCGCGCGGCACAGCCGCGAGGAAAGUCCGGGCUUCAAAGGGCAAGGAUAACGGAUAACGUCCGCCGAAGGUGACUUCCGGGAAAGUGCAACAGAGAUAUACCGCCCGAUUAACGUCGGGUAAGGGUGGAAAGGCGAGGCAAGAGCUCACCGAAUCCCCCGGCAACGAGGGAUUCCUGUAAACCCUAUCCGAAGCAACGCCCAAUAAUGCGCCGAUAACGUCUGCCCGGCGGGCGCGAUGGGCGGCAGCGCAAAAUCCCGCAUGGGAUUUUGCCUGCUUUGCGGAGACGCAAAGCACAGAUAGAUGACGACCCGCGACAAAACCCGGCUUACAGACCGUCGUCGCAGC